rnacentral:rRNA from 1 species
AUACGGAGGGUGCAAGCGUUAAUCGGAAUUACUGGGCGUAAAGAGUACGUAGGUGGUUCGUUAAGUCAGAUGUGAAAGCCCAGGGCUCAACCUUGGAACUGCAUUUGAAACUGGCGAACUCGAGUAUGGUAGAGGGGGGUAGAAUUCAUAGUGUAGCGGUGAAAUGCGUAGAUAUUAUGAGGAAUACCAGUGGCGAAGGCGGCCCCCUGGACCAAUACUGACACUGAGGUACGAAAGCGUGGGUAGCGAACAGGAUUAGAAACCCUAGUAGUCC